rnacentral:rRNA from 2 species
AUUUCAACAAUGAAGCGAGUGGCGAACUGGUGAGUAACACGUGGGAAAUCUGCCCAGAAGCAGGGGAUAACACUUGGAAACAGGUGCUAAUACCGUAUAACAACAAAAUCCGCAUGGAUUUUGUUUGAAAGGUGGCUUCGGCUAUCACUUCUGGAUGAUCCCGCGGCGUAUUAGUUAGUUGGUGAGGUAAAGGCCCACCAAGACGAUGAUACGUAGCCGACCUGAGAGGGUAAUCGGCCACAUUGGGACUGAGACACGGCCCAAACUCCUACGGGAGGCAGCAGUAGGGAAUCUUCUCACAAUGGACGAAAGUCUGAUGGAGCAAUGACGCGUGACUGAAGAAGGGAUUCGACUCGUAAAACCUCUGUUGUUAAAGAAGAACACCUUUGAGAGUAACUGUUCAACGGUUGACGGUAUUUAACCAGAAAGCCACGGCUAACUACGUGCCAGCAGCCGCGGUAAUACGUAGGUGGCAAGCGUUGUCCGGAUUUAUUGGGCGUAAAGCGAGCGCAGGCGGUUUUUUAAGUCUGAUGUGAAAGCAUUCGGCUUAACCGGAGAAGUGCAUCGGAAACUGGGAGACUUGAGUGCAGAAGAGGACAGUGGAACUCCAUGUGUAGCGGUGGAAUGCGUAGAUAUAUGGAAGAACACCAGUGGCGAAGGCGGCUGUGUAGUCUGUAACUGACGCUCAGGCUCGAAAGCAUGGGUAGCGAACAGGAUUAGAUACCCUGGUAGUCCAUGCCGUAAACGAUGAGUGCUAAGUGUUGGAGGGUUUCCGCCCUUCCAGUGCUGCAGCUAACGCAUUAAAGCACUCCGCCUGGGGGAGGUACGACCGCAAGGUUGAAACUCAAAGGAAUUGACGGGGGCCCGCACAAGCGGUGGAGCAUGUGGUUUAAUUCGAAGCUACGCGAAGAACCUUACCAGGUCUUGACAUCUUCUGCCAAUCUUAGAGAUAAGACGUUCCCUUCGGGGACAGAAUGA